CUACUUUCUUCCGUCUUCGAGUUCCAUUUUUUUCUCUGGUGGUCUCAUUGUUCUCUAUCCUUGAUUUUGCCUAAUUUUAUAAUCAAUUUUUGGUUCUAUAAUCUUUCAGUUGCUGCUUUCAAUCGUCUAAUUCGUUCAAGUAAGGCCUUAAUUUAUGAAUGUUUCCAUCCAAUUUCAUUAUUUUCUGGGUUUAACAGUGUUUUCUUUCUGGGUUUCGUAGAUGGAAGAUCUCGGGCUUCCACAUCGCCUAAUCGCUGCUGGUGAAGAACCACUUAGAGAGAGGGCUAAUGUUUACAACAAAAUGAAAACACUAAGAGGCAUCAUUGAUUCGUUGGAUCAAACCAAAAUCA
rnacentral:lncRNA from 1 species